rnacentral:tRNA from 1 species
GCUUCUAUAGUCUAGGGGCUAAGACAUUAGGUUUUCGACUUAAGAAGAGGGGUUCGAGUCCCCUUAGGAGUG